CGCUGGAAGCGGGGCGGGUCUGGGCUUCUGUCCCCGCUCCCUCCGCGCGGGGGCUCUGGGGACUCGGGCGUCGCUCCCUGCGGGGCGCGUUGCGUCCGGGCCGAGUGCGGUGCCCGCGGCAGCCGGGGACGGGGAGGGGAGGCCGGGGACCGAGCGUGGCCGUGAAGGGGCCACGGGCGGCCUGCGGGACCAGCCGGCGAGGAGGGGACAUCGGGCCGCGAAACGCGCUCCCAGAGCCGCUGCGCGCGGCGUGACGCGGGUGCCCCCGUCAGAGUGGGCGAGGGCGGGAAAAGUUAGGGACUGCCUGCAGGUGUGGACGCUGCCGGUUCCUAAUAAGCAAAGAGCGAUGAUUAUCCCGGAGGUCGUUUGAAAAGGAUCGCUCAGGUGAACGAAGCAGGACUGAGAGAAGGACACCUGGUUCAUGGGCUACUGGUCACACUGUGAGGUGGGGGUACUUAUCCCGGCAUCCCAUUAGGAAGGAUUCUGAAGUCAAAAGCUUGGUAGGCUCUCACACUUACUAUGGUGCUGGACUCCAAGGUGACCGGGUUUUGAAGAAACAAGUUUACAGGGGCAUUAGAAAGAAGAACUGAGCCUGAUGUGAAGAAAAAAGAUGGAGGACAAGUUGCCAGAUGGGCUUCGGGGGUUGUUGUGGUAUGAAACCUAAGAGGCCAAGUAUUAGGGAAAUGUAGUUCAAAAUGUAUAGAAAUGGGAUGAGUUUCUGUAGCUAAGUCAUUUUUGGUUUAAAACUAACGUAGUAGUUGGAUUGGAAUUUGGAUUGGAAUAAAUAAAAAAUAAUGAAGGAUUAGUAAGGUUGUUACCUCCAUUGGACCCAAGUCUUUAUUUUGUUUAAAAAAAAUUAUUAUAGAUGUUCUUUAAACUUUAUUCCUGUUGACAUUAAUAAGGUCCUAUAAAUGUGCAUAUAUAUGGGGAAGUGGAGGAAGGGAUAAUAGAUGGGUAUUGGGGUCUUAAAUUGGGGUUUUAGAAUACCAGACUAAUACACCUGCUGCCCCCUGGUGGCAGCGUAUUAAAUAGUGAAGUUCAGAGGUGAGGAAUUCUGGAGAGCUGAGUUGGUUGUAUAAGAGGAUUAUAGGGGGAAUCAGGAGAUGUUUUCUCUUUCCAGCUCUGUUCAUAAUUACUAUCCAUAUGACCUUAGGUAAAUCAUUUAGUUUGAUUACCUUUUAUUUUAUAAGUUUCUUCCAGCUUUCACAUCUUACAAUUCUCUGAUGGUAAUAGCACAUAUUAUGUACUAAAAGAUGUGAAGUUCCACUUUUUCCAUUAGCAGCUGAAUCCUAACGUAUCCUAUAUAUUUAUUUAAGAAAGCAUACUCUAGAGUAACUCCUGAGGCACAAUACAGAUUCAGCUCUGGGCAGCAGACUGCAUAGGCUAUCUGUAGCACAGUCCAUAAUUAAUCAGUGUGACAAUCUUGCAUUAUUAUGAAAGCUCACAAGUUACAUCAUUUAAAAAAUAAUUUUUAUUGUGGUUAAAAAAAUAACAUAAACUUUACCAUCUUAACCAUUUUUAAGUAUACAGUUCAGUAGUGUUAAGUAUAUUCAGUGUUGUACAACAUACCUCCAAAACUGUUACUUCUUAUAAAACUGAAACUGUGUACCCAUUAGACAGCAACCCCCUACACUCCCCCUGCCCCUAGCAACUACCAUGCUACUCUCUGUCUAUGAAUUUGACUAUUCUAGGUACCUCAUGUAAGUGGAAUCAUACAGUAUUUGUCUUUUUGUGACUCGUUUCUUUCAUUUAGCAUGAUGUUCCUAAGGCGAAUCCAAAUUGUAGCACGUGACAGGAUUUCUUUUCUUUAAGGCUGAAUAUUUGUAUGUAGAUACAUUUUACUUCUCCAUUCAUCUAUUGACAGACUCUUGGAUUACUUCCACUUCUUUGCUAUUGUGAAUAAUGCUGCAAUGAACCAAGGAUAUGCUGCAUUUUUAGUAUACAGUGUUUACUAAUGCAGAGAGGGUUUAUACAAUUUUUACAUGCAUAAAAGGUUAAAUUUCAUUAUAAAAACACCAUUCAACCAUGCUAAAUAACUAGGAUAUAGCUUUUUGUGUGGAUGAGUAAGUUAAAAAAGGAAUUAACAUUUAUCGAACAUACAAACUGUAUGUCAGGCACUUUUGUAUCUGUGAUCCAUUCUAUUGUUUAGUGUUUACAGUAAUUCUGUGAUUUACCCUUCUCUUGGGAGGGGACUAAUACUUAUUAAAAUCACUGUGUACCAGAAUUUUUAUAUACGUUAUCUCAUAUAAUCUUCAUACAUUAACCCUGAGGUGUGCUUUAGUAUCCCUGAUGUAACUGAGGUUCAGAGAGAUGAAACACCUUGAACAAGGUCACAUAGCUAAAAGGUAGCAGAGUUUUACCUGAGUACAAAGUGAAACAUGUCUGUUUCAGAUGUGUUCGACAUAUACCAUACUUUCUCCUGCUUUCAGAAAUAACACUAUACAUCUAUGAUCUGAAAGAUGUUGGAACAAUAUCAAGAUUACACUGCUAUAAUAAUUUAUAAAUAGAAACACUUCUGUAGUGCCUUUCCAUUAAAUAACAGUCCUUGGGUUUUCCUUGCAGAGAAACAGCAUCGAUUCAGAUGAAUUCAUCUGAAAUGUAUCAAGGCUUACCUCCUGGGGCAUUUUGCAAAAUAAACCUUCCUAGGACUUCCAAAAGAGUGGUUCUCUUGUGCCGGUCCCCCCAUUUCUGAGGUUAUCUUCCAUGUGUUAUUUUCCCCUUUUUCUUUCUCCCUUUCCUUUGAUGUGGCAGAUAGCUAGGACCGUUUUCACCACUUUCUGCUCCCACCUCUCUUGAACGCUAUGCUGCUUGGGUUUGGAGUUUUGAUCUGCUCCUUGCAUAGUGUUUUUUCACAGGUAAAGGGUUAUAAAAUGUCCUUAUAGGUGGUGGUUUUCUUGGAGAGUCAGUAAGCUCUUGGAAAGGCCCAUUGCAACAUGGGAUUUUUUGACUAACAGAGAUGUAGUGGUAUAGCAUCCGAGCAGCCACUUAAGCUUCUCUAAGAGUUCCUGUGCACUUAGGAUGACUUACAUUGGGAAUUUACAAACCUAGUGAUAGGUGAGGCUCAGGAAUUGUUCCAAGAUUCAUUCAAGGCCUUCGAUAAUUCCUGAAAGCAGGAUGUUAUGCAGUAAAUAAAGAA